GUAGGUAGUGGACAGAUGGUGUAGGUAGUGGACAGAUGGUGUAGGUAGUGGUCUUAGAUGGUGUAGGUAGUGGACAGAUGGUGUAGGUAGUGGUCUUAGAUGGUGUAGGUAUUUGACUAAGAUUAUGUAGGUAGUGGACAGAUGGUGUAGGUAGUGGACUUGGAUGGUGUAGGUAGUGGACAGAUGGUGUAGGUAGUGGACUUAGAUGGUGUAGGUAGUGGUCUUAGAGGGUGUAGGUAGUGGUCUUAGAGGGUGUAGGUAGUGGUCUUAGAGGGUGUAGGUAGUGGACUUAGAUGGUGUAGGUAGUGGACAGAUGGUGUAGGUAGUGGACUUAGAUGGUGUAGGUAGUGGACAGAUGGUGUAGGUAGUGGACUUAGAUGACUGGUACGCUUUUAUUGACUGGUGCAGUUGGCAAACAUUUUUAGGCCAGUGGGUCAUCCGAAAAUAUUUUUUUUUGCCCAGAAAGAUCCUUAUGUGGCUAGUAUAGAAAUAGUCCGGUGUGCUAGAAAAUGCCAGGGCUGAUUUCUGGCCCCAGUCCGCCCCUGGUCAAUCAGGUUUCAGGAUGCUGCUAGGCUGACUGGCCUGACAUCCUAUCGGGUGUUCUCUAAUUGAGCCUGUCACUAAUCUGUCUUGUACCCGAUCUCCUUGACUCCCAUCAGGUCUUAAACAUUAUACUAAUUAACUACCAUCCCCAGGUAGAUAGUUUAAAACAACAGGAUACCUGCCUAUCAGCUCCGAAACCACUACCUACACCAUCUGUCCACU
ensembl:lncRNA